AACGGACGCUGGCGGCAUGCCUAACACAUGCAAGUCGAACGAGACCUUCGAGUCUAGUGGCGCACGGGUGCGUAACGCGUGGGAACCUGCCCUUAGGUUCGGAAUAACUCCCCGAAAGGGGUGCUAAUACCGGAUAAUGUCUUCGGACCAAAGAUUUAUCGCCUUUGGAUGGGCCCGCGUUGGAUUAGCUAGUUGGUAGGGUAAAAGCCUACCAAGGCGACGAUCCAUAGCUGGUCUGAGAGGAUGAUCAGCCACACUGGGACUGAGACACGGCCCAGACUCCUACGGGAGGCAGCAGUGGGGAAUAUUGGACAAUGGGCGAAAGCCUGAUCCAGCAAUGCCGCGUGAGUGAUGAAGGCCUUAGGGUUGUAAAGCUCUUUUACCCGGGAUGAUAAUGACAGUACCGGGAGAAUAAGCUCCGGCUAACUCCGUG
rnacentral:rRNA from 1 species